AGGCUACCGCUAUUGGAGUUCGAUUAAGCCAUGCGAGUCGCGAGUCUUAGGGACUCGGCGUACCGCUCAGUAACACGUGGGUAACCUGCCCUAUGCUGGGGGAUAACCUCGGGAAACUGAGAAUAAUACCCCAUAGUUCACCACGCCUGGAACGGUGGGUGGAUGAAAGCUCCGGCGGCAUAGGAUGGGCCUGCGGCGUAUCAGGUUGUAGGGGGUGUAAUGUACCCUCUAGCCAUCUACGCGUACGGGUGUUGGGAGACAUCGCCCGGAGAUGGAUUCUGAGACACGAAUCCAGACCCUACGGGGUGCAGCAGGCGCGAAAACUUGGCAAUGCGAGAAAUCGUGACCAGGGAACUCCAAGUGCAUCGGGUAAGACCGAUGCUUUUCUCGACUCUUCAAAGGUCUUGGAAUAAGGGGUGGGUAAGGACGGUGCCAGCCGCCGCGGUAAUACCGGCGCCUCAAGUGGUAGUCGCUUUUAUUGGGCCUAAAACGUCCGUAGCCGGUUUGGUACAUUCGUGGGUAAAUCAAGGCGCUCAACGUCUUGAAUUCUGCGAGCACGGCCAGACUUGGGACCGGGUGAGGUGUGGGGUACUCUCAGGGUAGGGGUAAAAUCCUGUCAUCCUGAGAGGACCACCUGUUGCGAAGGCGCCACACUAGAACGGAUCCGACGGUCAGGGACGAAGCCUAGGGGCACGAACCGGAUUAGAUACCCGGGUAGUCCUAGGUGUAAACGCUGUGGACUUGAUGUUGGGAGUGCUCCGAGCACCCUCAGUGUCGAAGCGAAGGUGAUAAGUCCACUGCCUGGGGAGUACGGUCGCAAGGCUGAAACUUAAAGGAAUUGGCGGGGGAGCACUGCAACCUGAGGAUUGUGCGGUUU
rnacentral:rRNA from 1 species